rnacentral:rRNA from 1 species
UACGAACUGUGCAAACGUUAUUCGGAAUCACUGGGCUUACAGGGUGCGUAGGCGGUCUGUCAAGUAGGGUGUGAAAGCCCCCGGCUCAACUGGGGAGGGUCAUUCGAUACUGAUCGACUCGAAGGCAGGAGAGGGUAGUGGAAUUCCCGGUGUAGUGGUGAAAUGCGUAGAUAUCGGGAGGAACACCAGUGGCGAAGGCGACUACCUGGCCUGUUCUUGACGCUGAGGCGCGAAAGCUAGGGUAGCAAACGGG